GCCUAGUUAGCUUAGUUGGUAGUGCGUCUGCCUUGUAAGCGCUAGGCCGCGGGUUCGAUUCCCGCCCGGGGC
rfam:Asian citrus Psyllid, Diaphorina citri - Florida Strain, whole genome shotgun sequence.